AUAAAGUCUAACCUGCCCACUGAAAUUUUUAAAUGGCCGCAGUAUUUUAACUGUGCAAAGGUAGCAUAAUCAUUAGUCUUUUAAUUGGAGGCUGGAAUGAAUGGUUGGACGAAAUAUUAACUGUUUCAUAUAAAUUUAUAAUAAAAUUUUAUUUUUUAGUCAAAAAGCUAAAAUUUAAUUAAAAGACGAGAAGACCCUAUAAAUCUUUAUAUUUUAUUUAUUUUAAUUAAUAAGAUUAUUUUUAUUAUAAUAAAAUAAAAUAUUUUAUUGGGGUGAUAUUAAAAUUUAAUAAACUUUUAAUUUAUUAAAACAUAAAUUCAUGAAUUAUUGAUCCAUUAAUAAUGAUUAAAAAUUUAAGUUACUUUAGGGAUAACAGCGUAAUUUUUUUGGAGAGUUCAUAUCGAUAAAAAAGAUUGCGACCUCGAUGUUGGAUUAAGAUAUAAUUUUGGGUGUAGCCGUUCAAAUUUUAAGUCUGUUCGACUUUUAAAUUCUUACAUGAUCUGAGUUCAAACCGGUGUAAGCCAGGUUGGUUUCUAUCUUUAAUAAAUUAUAAUAUUUUAGUACGAAAGGAUUAAAUAUUAGAAUAAUUAUAUUUUAAAUAAUGAAUAUUAUUAAUAUAU
rnacentral:rRNA from 1 species